rnacentral:rRNA from 1 species
UACGAAGGGGGCUAGCGUUGCUCGGAAUUACUGGGCGUAAAGCGCACGUAGGUGGCUUUCUAAGUCGGGGGUGAAAUCCUGGAGCUCAACUCCAGAACUGCCUUCGAUACUGGAGAGCUCGAGUCCGGGAGAGGUGAGUGGAACUGCGAGUGUAGAGGUGAAAUUCGUAGAUAUUCGGAAGAACACCAGUGGCGAAGGCGGCUCACUGGUCCGGUACUGACGCUGAGGUGCGAAAGCGUGGGGAGCAAACAGG